UACGUAGGGGGCAAGCGUUGUCCGGAUUUAUUGGGCGUAAAGAGCUCGUAGGUGGUUCGGUAAGUCGGAUGUGAAAUCUCCAGGCUCAACUUGGAGCGGUCAUUCGAAUACUGCCGUGACUAGAGUUCGGUAGGGGAGUGUGGAAUUCCUGGUGGAGCGGUGAAAUGCGCAGAUAUCAGGAGGAACACCAAUUGCGAAGGCAGCUCGCUGGGACGUAACUGACGCUGAGACGCGAAAGCGUGGGGAGCAAACAGG
rnacentral:rRNA from 1 species